AGAGGAGGUCAUGCAAUUCAAGAAAGGGGAAGCCCUCCUGCAUGACCAUCACAUCAUCAGACUCAACGAUCUGGUCAGCAGGCAAUUGUAUUAGCUAUUCCUCUGAGUCAUCAGGAGCCAACUCCUAGCUCGCAAGACGUGAUUACUGUACGCAUCCGAAUGCCAACUGGAGAUCCUGCAUUCAUGCGCAAACAUGAAGAGAAUCCAGUUCUAAGUCUAAGUGAGCUGGAAGAGUUAGCAAGAAAUGAGGAAGCUCAAAGGAAGAGAAGGGCUGAGGAGUAUGCAAAUCCAC
rnacentral:lncRNA from 1 species